rnacentral:rRNA from 1 species
UACGGAGGGUGCAAGCGUUAUCCGGAUUCACUGGGUUUAAAGGGUGCGUAGGCGGACAGGUAAGUCAGUGGUGAAAUCUCCGGGCUUAACCCGGAAACUGCCAUUGAUACUAUCAGUCUUGAAUACCGUGGAGGUAAGCGGAAUAUGUCAUGUAGCGGUGAAAUGCUUAGAUAUGACAUAGAACACCAAUUGCGAAGGCAGCUUACUACCCGAAUAUUGACACUGAGGCACGAAAGCGUGGGGAUCAAACAGG